UCCGGCGUGGUGUAGUGGCUAACAUUGUUGUCUCUCACACAACAGCCCGGGGUUCGAUUCCCCGCGCCGGAA